rnacentral:rRNA from 1 species
CUUGGAAGCAGCCAUUCAUUUAAAGAGUGCGUAACAGCUCACUAGUCGAGGAGUUCUGCGUGGAUAAUAAUCGGGCAUAAGCCGUUUACCGAAGCUGUGGAAUUGGCAACAAUUGGUAGGGGAGCAUUCCAUAAGCCGCAGAAGGUUUUCCUUGAGGAAUGCUGGAGGUAAUGGAAAAGCAAAUGUAGGUAUAAGUAACGAUAAAGAGGGCGAGAACCCCUCUCGCCGAAAGACCAAGGGUUCCUGAUCAACGCUAAUCGGAUCAGGGUAAGUCGGGCCCUAAGGCGCAGCCGAACGGCGCAGCCGAUGGCAGAAACGGUUAAUAUUCCGUUACUAUGAUACGGAGUGACGAGGAGACGGAGAAGUGACACUCUCGCCUGCUGACGGAAUAGCAGGUUGAACGGAGUAGAUAAUGACAUGGUAGGCAAAUCCGCCGUGGCAGUCGAACCGGAUAGUACUGGGCGCCCCCGGGCAACCAGAUAGCAGAGGUAAUCAGGCUCCCGAGAAAAUCCCCUAAACAUAUGCGUAUCAUACCCGUACCCGAAACGGACACACGUGGUUGAGUAGAAAAUACUAAGGCGCUCGAGCGACUCACGGUUAAGGAACUAGGCAAAUUGACCCUGUAACUUCGGGACAAAGGGUCCCUCCCAGGCGGGAGGGCGCAGAGAAUAGGUCCAGGCAACUGUUUAACAAAAACACAGGGCUGUGCAAAAUUGAAAGAUGAAGUAUACAGCCUGACACCUGCCCGGUGCUGGAAGGUUAAGAGGAGAUGUCAUCGCAAGAGAAGCGUUGAAUUGAAGCCCCAGUAAACGGCGGCCGUAACUAUAACGGUCCUAAGGUAGCGAAAUUCCUUGUCGGGUAAGUUCCGACCUGCACGAAUGGUGUAAUGAUCUGGACACUGUCUCAACCGUGAGCUCGGUGAAAUUGUAGUAUCGGUGAAGAUGCCGAUUACCCGCAACGGGACGGAAAGACCCCGUGAACCUUUACUGCAACUUAACAUUGAAUUUGGGUAACUGAUGUGUAGGAUAGUCCGGAGACAGAGAAAUGGAUACGCCAGUAUUCAUGGAGUCACCCUUGAAAUACGGACCUUUGGUUAUUUGAGUUCUAACCCGUGGAAAAUGGGGACACUGUUUGGUGGGUAGUUUGACUGGGGUGGUCGCCUCCAAAAGCGUAACGGAGGCUUCUAAAGGUACCCUCAGGCCGAUUGGUAACCGGCCGUAGAGUGUAAUGGCACAAGGGUGCUUGACUGAGAGACCGACAAGUCGAUCAGGUAGGAAACUAGAGCAUAGUGAUCCGGUGGUUCCGCAUGGAAGGGCCAUCGCUCAAAGGAUAAAAGGUACUCCGGGGAUAACAGGCUGAUCGCUCCCAAGAGCUCAUAUCGACGGAGCGGUUUGGCACCUCGAUGUCGGCUCGUCACAUCCUGGGGCUGGAGAAGGUCCCAAGGGUUGGGCUGUUCGCCCAUUAAAGUGGCACGCGAGCUGGGUUCAGAACGUCGUGAGACAGUUCGGUCCCUAUCUGUUGUGGGCGCAGGAAAUUUGAGGAGACCUGACACUAGUACGAGAGGACCGUGUUGGACAGACCUCUGGUUUAUCAGUUGUUCCGCCAGGGGCAUAGCUGAGUAUCUAAGUCUGGAAAGGAUAAGUGCUGAAAGCAUCUAAGUACGAAGCCAGCUUCAAGAUUAGAUUUCCCUGAAGGGUCGUUGCAGACGACGACGUAGAUAGGUUGCAGAUGUAAAGGCGGUAACGUCAAAGUCGAGCAAUACUAAUCACCCGAGACUUUCCGCC